ACUGUUCGCCAGAGAACUACGAGCGAAAAACUUAAAACUCUAAGGACUUGGCGGUGCCCCAUACCAACCUAGAGGAGCCUGUCCUAUAAUCGAUAUUCCGCGCUAAACCUCACCCCCCCUUGUAAACCCAGCCUAUAUACCGCCGUCGACAGCUCACCUUAUGAAAGAAUCCAAGUGAGCAUAAUAGUUAACAACCAAUACGUCAGGUCAAGGUGUAGCACACGGGGGGACAGAGAUGGGCUACAUUUCCUACAAUAGGAAACACGCACGGCACGCUGAAACAUGCGCCCAAAGGUGGAUUUAGCAGUAAGACAGAUAAGAAGGCCUGUCUCAAAACUUGCUCUGGGGCGCGCACACACCGCCCGU
rnacentral:rRNA from 1 species